rnacentral:lncRNA from 1 species
GGCGGCGGCGGCGGGCGGAUCGCUUCAGCCCGGGGCGCCGGGUCUCUGCGUGCAGCGGCCCAGGGUCUUCCCAGUGGGGGAGUGGGGACCCCAAGGCUGGUGGACUCGCACACACCUGGCAGAAGGGAAAGCCUGGAGCGAAUCCACGUCCAAAUCCUAAUGCUACUCUGGUCAUCGUACCUUGAUUAUUAUUUGCAUCCUGCGUUGGAAGUAAUGCCCGAAUCUAGUGUGCUGUGUGCUUCGUGACACAGGGGGGUGAAAUGCAGCUAAGUAAGUUGACUGCAGGCCACACCUGGCAGAGAGGACCGUUGAGGAGGAAGACCCAGAUGCCAGCCCCGGGGCAGGCAACAGAGAUGGAACCUGUGCCACAGCAUCAACCUGAGCUGCUGCAGUGACAAUACUGGAUCCUUAACCGACUCUGCCAUGAGGUCACUCCUGAACUGUCCUUUCUCUGGAGAAUAUUUCCUUUGCAUUCAUUCUCCUAUCCAACCCAACCUAAAAUAGGAUUAUCCUUGUUGCAAAAGGGGUAGUGUGUAUACACCCACAUAUAAAAGUAUGUGCUCUGCCAGUUAGAGAACAAGAAUGCCUAAUGCUACUGAGAAAGAAAGAGGAGCAGCCUCUGCAUUCAGAAGCUGGCUGGGGGCUCCUGGCUGAGCUUGUGACUCUGCCAGUGAUGUAGACAAUCUCCCAGAAUACCUGCUUCAGAAGAGGCUGCCCUGAGACUCAUGACAAAAAUCCAGCUGAGCAAGACCACUGCAUGAUGUGGGGAAAACACAGACAAAAGCGAGUCACUGUGCCACCCACAAAAUACCGAAUACCCCCUCUUAGCUGAAAUGAGCAACCACUAAUUCUUUACCAAUUACAGCUUUACCCUCAUCCUAGCUUCUCCUCCCUGUAGAAGAGAUUCAUUGAGACACCCAUCGUGGAAUUGCCCCACUUUCUUUCUUUUUCUUUUUCUUUUUUCGUUUUUUAGGGCCGUACCCGUGGCAUAUGCAAGUUUCCAGGCUGGGGUGAGACUGGAGCUACAGCUGCCUGCCUACACCACAGCCACAGCAGCACCAGAUCCAAGCUGCAUCUGUGACCUACACCAUAGCUCACCGCAAUGCCAGAUCCUUAACCCACUGAGCGAGGCCAGGGAUCGAACCCAUGUCCUCAUAGAUACUAGUUGGGUUAGAUCCCACUGAGCCACGACUUUUUUUUUGGUCUUGUGCUACUUUCUAACAGUAUGGCACCCAGUCUCGAGUGGAUCUCUGCUUCCUUAGACCCUCCUUAAGUCACCCAGCCACAGCCCAGCCCUCCAAAGCUUCCUCCCAGCGCCCUCUUACUGGACACCCUGAUUUCUCAUGGCCUGUGUUCUCCCGCCUGCAACAAGUGACAAGGCCUCCUUGUUCAACUGCAGGGGUGUUGCCAGUGGUCUUGGGCUGAUCUUGGGCUUGACACUGUGUUUACACAUUUCUGUGUGUGUUUUGUGUGUGUACCAUUGUAAACACUAUAGACAUUUAUAGAAAAUCAAGGUAGUAAGAAAAUCCAGACAAUUCAAGCUCCAAAAUAAACUUCUGCAACUGAUCUACCUGUAUAGAAUACCAUGUUCAAGUGAAAACACUCAGAUAAUUACAUAUUUUGCUUCAUGACAGCCUAAGCAAUCACACACACCAGAAAAUUUCAAUAAUUUUAUGUCCUAGUUAUUCUCUAGUUAUACUUUGCUUUUGUAUAUAUGCUUUUAAUAUUUUCUACAGUGUAGUUUUGAGAUGUAUUUUUAAAUUUUUUUGUCUUUUUGUCCUUUUAGGGCCACACCCGCAGCAUAUGGAGGUUCCCAGGCUAGGGGUCUAAUCGGAGCUGUAGCCACUGGCCCACUCCAGAGCCACAGCAACGCGGGAUCCGAGCUGUGUCUGUGACCUACACCACAGCUCACGACAGCGCUGGAUCCUUAACCUGAGCAAGGCCAGGGAUCGAACCUGCAACCUCAUGGUUCCAAGUCAGAUUCAUUUCCCCUGCGUCACGACAGGAACUCCGAGAUGUAUUUUUAAAGCUAUGAAUUACUUAACUUUAAUAGGUUGAGAAGAGCCAGAAUGUUGGCUAUUUUUCAUUGAAGUAUUAAAUUAUAAAACAGGAUACAAACAUAUAGAGUAUGAUUACAACUAAGAAGAUAAUAAAAAUUAAAAAUUGGUGACUACCAU